rnacentral:misc_RNA from 1 species
AAAAAAAUGCCUCUAUGAAUGUCAUUCUCAACAUUUUUGCAGGAGGUAUAACGGCUCCUGGGGGGAGGUUUGGGGGGCUAUAGCCCCUCGUAGCACCCCUUAUCUGUCCCUAAUGGAGAGUUUUACCCUUUUUCGUUCAAUUCGAUUUAUGAUAUGAUAGCACGUGUAUAGUAAAAUAGGAGAUAAUGGAAGAAAUAGCUACAAACACAAAAUAUAUAUUAUAUGGGCGACAAAGUGGAAACUUCUAACUUAGUCUUUGCCAAAAAAUUGGGAGUUUGGUUUGUGAGUGGUACACAAUUUUGUUUAAGUGAAGUGAAAUGAGUAUCUCAAAAAGAUUAAUGUUUUUAAGAAUUCAUCGAAAUGCACUUUUAGUUGUAUGUUUUUGGCAUUAAGACAUGCUGGGAUGCUGGAUUGGUAAAGAAAUCAUUAAUUUUAGAGUUCUUUUUGGGCUGUCCCUUUUAGUUUAAAAUUACUCUUGCACAUCUGAUUUGAUUCAUGUAUGGUUGAUGUUUUUGGGUUACUUUCUUUCGACUUCAUUGCAG